AAGACAUUUUUUGUUUUCCAUCAUAGUUUUUAAUUUCAUUACUUUUACGUGUAUGAAUGAAUAUGCAUUAUUUGCUACAUUCCUUUUAUUAGAGGAUGUUCUGGAGCAAAACUGAAAAAACAGCCCAUGAUUACGCAGAGAAAUGUUCUUACCUGACUCAAGAGGACACUCUACCUGCCUUCCUCCUGAAUGAUAUCACUUGGUUUGGCAAAAAGGUUAAAUGGUGUGGCGAACCGGAGAGCCAAGAAAUCUUUACCAAAGGAUGCCAUGACAGGCCAUAUAAGUCAUUCUGGGAGCGAUCUUCAGCAGCAUUUGCAGCAUCUGCAUGUGGUGAUGCCUUUGUCAUGCUGAAUGGAGCCAUGGAUUCGCCUUAUAAUCGAU